rnacentral:rRNA from 1 species
UACGAAGGGGGCUAGCGUUGCUCGGAAUCACUGGGCGUAAAGAGCUCGUAGGCGGUCUGUCGCGUCGGCUGUGAAAACUCGGGGCUCAACCCCGAGCCUGCAGUCGAUACGGGCAGACUAGAGUUCGGUAGGGGAGACUGGAAUUCCUGGUGUAGCGGUGAAAUGCGCAGAUAUCAGGAGGAACACCGGUGGCGAAGGCGGGUCUCUGGGCCGAAACUGACGCUGAGGAGCGAAAGCGUGGGGAGCGAACAGG